UUAUGUUUUACCCCUCCCCAAUCACUCAAACCCCAGUUCUUCCUAGUGAACUCAAUCUCGCUUAGUCAACUAUUUAUAAUUAGAGAUCAGGAUCAAUUCCUUUUUCUUUGUGUGUGUGUGUAUAUUAUUGUUGGGUUUUUUUGGGUGCUAUUUGAAUCAAAUGCAGUAUUGUUUCCAGAAAUAAUUACCGGUAAAUCUUCACUUGCUAAAUUUGUGAACUAUAUGUUGAGAUAUAGGCUAUGAUGAUACACUAAUUCUGAGCCUAAUAAUUGGUCAUUUCCU
rnacentral:lncRNA from 1 species